UACAGAGGUCCCAAGCGUUGUUCGGAUUUACUGGGCGUAAAGGGUGCGUAGGUGGCGAGGUAAGUUCGAUGUGAAAUCUCCGAGCUCAACUCGGAAAUGGCAUUGAAUACUAUCCCGCUUGAGGGUCGGAGGGGAGACUGGAAUUCUCGGUGUAGCAGUGAAAUGCGUAGAUAUGUGGAGGAACACCGAUGGCGAAGGCAGCCCCCUGGGUUAACACUGACGCUCAUGCACGAAAGCGUGGGGAGCGAACAGG
rnacentral:rRNA from 1 species